rnacentral:lncRNA from 1 species
GGAGACGCCUAACACAGCGCAGCUGUCAGUCAUUGCUGAGUUUGAACCAUUAUAUUAUAUCAUAUAAUAGAUUAUAUAGAUCAGUGUUUGAACCCCACCCAAGGACAUUCGGUGAUUUCUGCGCCGCUCGGAGUCUGUGCAGCGCUCACAGAGAACCUGCAGCACCUGGGAGAUCCUGCCAAGAAAAGAGCAUCUCCGUAUGGAGCAGAAGACAGGGCCUGUCAAGUGGCUAGAGAACAGUCCCUGUGAGGCUUUGUUGAGUGAUCAGUCCUCCAUGGAAAUCCCACCGGUCUUCAGAGAAAAUGUAAUGG